GGGUGCAGCAGGCGCGAAUCCCUACGGGGUGCAGCAGGCGCGAAAACUUUACAAUGGCGGGAAACCGUGAUAAGGGGACACCGAAGUGCCAGCAUCAUAUGUUGGCUGUCCAGAUGUGUAAAAUACAUCUGUUAGCAAGGGCCGGGCAAGACCGGUGCCAGCCGCCGCGGUAACACCGGCGGCCCGAGUGGUGAUCGUGAUUAUUGGGUCUAAAGGGUCCGUAGCCGGUUUGGUCAGUCCUCCGGGAAAUCUGACGGCUCAACCGUUAGGCUUUCGGUGGAUACUGCCGAGACUUGGAACCGGGAGAGGUAAGAGCGUACUACAGGGGUAGGA
rnacentral:rRNA from 1 species